AUUUACGUAUAUUUAUUUGGGCUGGAGUAGUCAUUCAACAUUUGUUGAGUUUGGUAAUCAUUGCAUCUUCUCCUGGAUUGCUUCAUUUAACUCAUUUCCUACACAUGGAUGUGUCAGCAUUGGUUUGUUCCAAUCAUCUUCAUGUUGUUUCUCAUCUAGCAAAACAGAAGUUUGAUUUUAUUUUAUUGUAUGUGUAAAGCAUCUGUGAAAUGUUAUCCAUGACCUUAAUCACUCCUACAACCAAGUGAAUCACCAUUUCUUUCAACCAAUGCUUAAGACCUAUCCUAGUAAAUAAAAAAAAAUCUUUGUUUUUGUGCUAGUUCUGUAUUGGCCUUCUCUGAAAAGUCUGAAGUCCUGUAACUUUGAGUAAGCAAAGGAUUUUUAUCGUGUUUCUUAGAAUCUGUAUUCUAGAACUUUAUCAUAAACCCUUAUUGGGUCCUUUUCUGCUUAAUGGAAUAAUGUAAACUCAUAAGUAAGAUCAUUUUAAACUUUUUUUAUAUAGUCAGUCAUUUAGUUAGAAAAUGCUAUACAGAUGUAUGGCUUCAGCACUGAAUAAAGCAAAAAAAAAAUCUAACGGUAUUUUAUAAGCAGAAUGAACAGUACAUGAGUAUAUAGAAACACAGAAGUGAGUAUGAAUAUGUACUUUACAAGUGGCAUGGAUGCACGUGACAAAUACUUUCAUUCUCUGUGUGAUCUGAAACAAUCCUGAAGGCUGUAGUAAUAACACUAAACAAUGUUUAGAUUACCCCCAUGCUAAAACAUCCAGUAACAUUAAAAAAUACAUAUUAGUUACUUACGUAUAUAGUUCUGAAGUCUACGGUUGUGUUUAGUCUUGUUAGUUAUUCAAGAAUUAAAAAUAAAGAUACAGAAGUUUUUUAUUUCUUAAAAAGAUUUAAAAAAAAACUUGUAAGAACAAAACAAAACAGCACCUGCUGUAUCAGUGUAAAAAGUAAGAAACUUCCAUAUGGUUAAAAUAGUGAAAUUUCCAAAACUUGAUUCAAGUUAGGAGAUUAACACUUCAUUUUAUAUUAGACAAAGAAUUGACUUUGCUUUACUUCAUUUUAUUAGUGGAAACCACAGUGGUAAAUCAUAGAGUUUACAGAGGUGGGAAAAGAGCAGAACAAUGUUGUGUGUGUUAAAGAACGAGAAGGGGAUUUUUUUUGUAAUGAUGUGUCUGCAGUGUUUCCUUCAUGCUAUACACUACUACUUCAUUUUACUACUUAAGUAAAAUGAAGAUUCCGUGGCCUACUUCAUUUUAAACAGAGAUUUGAAAAUCACAGCGCAAUACAUAAACUGUCCAUUAGUAUAUUCAUUCAGUUUUUCAGUGUCCAAAUUGUGCAGCAGAUGUUCUGAAGUGCUAUAGGCCGACUGCUUGAAUGCAGAAAAUGCUGUUGCCUACAGUAGAAUUUAUUUUAACACAGAAUAUUUGUUCUAUCCAGUGGUGUUACUGUGCUCUUUGUAUCUGAUAUAGUUUUCGUGGAAAUAAGCAGGAGGCAUUACUAUCCAUGCUGUCCGAGAUGAUUCCCCUUCACUCCAUGCAGCCCAGGCAAGCUAAAAGGUUGAACACACGUUCCUUGAGAACUGCAUGGGCAGACUCAAAGCUUUGUAAAAACCGAGGUCUUUUACUGACUUCAGGAGGUCAAACCUCACAUGUAAGCAACUUGAGGAAAGAGAAAUAAAAACCUAUUAGUACUUGCUGAUAUUUUUUAAUGCCCUGAAAAAUUUUGUAAUUUCUAUUUAAUUCUGUAUUAAAGCAGGCAUACAUAAACCUAAAGGUGACAACCUGACUUUCAUCAGCAGCCCAGUGGCAAACAUCAGCACUUACUGAUCACGCCUUGGUGUUAACUCACGUGCUUUCAACGCAACCUGAAGGCAUAACUGUAGGCUGUUUGCAAUAUC
ensembl:lncRNA